CCUCAGGGGUCUCCGAGCCUAUCUCCUCUGUCUGUCCACGCCUCUCUGGGCCUGUUUCCUCAGUUGUGCAGCAAAGGGGUUAGGUGGUGAGGUCUCUGGGACCUUUUAGUCCACCUCCUUUAGUUCCAUGGAUAGAAGCAUUUUGUGGGACACAUCGCGUUUCUGCCAAGUGCUACAGCUGAACCCCAUAUUCAUAAAAGCACCCUGACAGCCUUUCUCCAGCAUCUUCCAAAAAACAAAACCUGAGCACUCAAAGCUGCAUCACCCCAUGUGGCCUUGCCCCCAGAGAAGCAUCUGCCAGUUUGGGCAUGGAGGAACAGAAAGUGGGCAGGGAAUUCUCCUUGGCUCCUUAGAAGGCAGUGGGAGCCCGGGGAAGCGUUCGGCCCCAGUGCAGCCUAAUUGGGAGGGAGGGAUGGGUAGAGGCUGGCUGGGCUUCUCCUUCCUCACCCUCAUGCAAGGUGGCUGCCCCUCUGGCUCCUUCAGAGCUCUUCCCUUCCAAGUUCCUACUGAGAAAUAAGAAGGCACAAAGGAAAAUCAGCCACCUCCUGGAGGUCACUAUGGGCCGCCUGCUUCGCUAAAAGCCAAGCACAGACCCCUGCAUUCUCCCUGCAGGAGAGCCCACCCGGCUCAGAAGAAAGCAAUUCUGCCUGUGGGGAGGAGAGGAAGGGAGGGGAGGGGAGGACACAUGGUGAGGUGGAAGCAGGGAGCAGAGCUGCUCCAUCCCUCCUCUCCUUCCCUGCCAGAAAUGCAAUUAAGCAAGCGGCCCAGACUCAGCCGCACAGACAGCGCUUCCUGCUGGGGGAAGUCAAAAGGGCUGUAGCAGUGGGAAAGGGAGGUCAUCGGGCCCCAGAUCUAAUUAACCAACCUGCCUUGCUUUUGACGUUGCUGCAUUUCCUCUAUUAACAUUAAUGAUGGUUGGUCUGAAUGUCCAAGCAUGGCCAGAAGCUUCCCUCCCCACCACCCAGUAGGUAGCACAGCCUGUCCCUGGGACCAAUAUCCAGUCUCCGUGGCAACCGCCUCCUGAAGAUGCUUUAAAGAGAUCUGACCCUGUCAGAGUUGUUGGGAGCUUCAGAGGAGGGAAAAUGGAGUGUGGCGGAUUCAUCAUUAAAUCUUGAAGCAUCAAAGUCCUCUGAGACAAAAGAAAUAUUUUGUCAUGCACCAGGAAGGUGGAGGCAGGCUUAAGGGCUGGCCUUGGGUGGUUUGGUUCUACCACAGGGUUUUCUUCAUCCCUUCUGGGGAGGAAGUGGAAGGGGCAGCUCUGAGCUUCUUGUUUGAGCUGCAGAGUGGUAGACGCAGGAAGCUGGCAUGCAUUUCUAGGUGCCAUGGGUCUUCACUGCUGAAGCAGUGACACAGAGAAAGGGAAUUGCCCACGGAGUGAGGGAGGGGUGACCAGAGGAGGACUGCAGAAGUGACACUGGGAAAGCUCAGCAGGUGACAGGAACAUUAGUCUGGAGAGGCCAGAGUCCCCACACCCCAGCACCAUGCAGAUUCCCUGCCCUGUAUCUCAUCUACCUUGGGCGCUAAGCAAGGUUCCCAUGGGCUCUCCCAGCAGCCAGGAGAAUGCAUCUGCCUUGCCCUCCAGGCCAGGCUAGAUGCACUUGGAGAGACCUGGCCUCUGGCACACAGGGCCUGGGAACACUGAGCAGCCCAGGAUAGGACAUCGUUCCUCCCGAGUCUCACAGUGUGACAAUCCCAAAAAACGAGGAACCAAGGGCUAAGGCAGGCUGACGCUCCGGAGUCCGCUGCUCUCUGUGCGUCACAGGCAGGAAGUCCAGCUACCUGCAGCCACUGGGGGGUGUGGUGGGAGCCAGGCCCUCCAGCUCUGGGCGGCGCGCCUUCCUCCACGCUGGAUUCAUUUGUUUGUGGGAGGGAGGGCAGCACAACUUUGACAGUCCCAUCUGCUCUGCCUUUGGUGACAUCCCAAGGUGAGGUCAGUAUUCUCUGCCCUCAAGGCCCUCUCAGAGGUCUGAGAAUUUUUGAUGGAUCUUACAAACCAAAACCAAAGAAAUCCAACAGAAAAAAAUACCAGAAAAUAUUACUAUAGCCUGGACUAUUUUAGAGUUUACGACACUCAGCUGUCCAGUUACACGGUCUGUAUUCCACAGGGAUAUGGACAACAUGCCCUCACAUACACACACGCGCACCCACUCCCACCCUCUGGCACCCAUCCUCCCCUGCGCUGUGCAUGAGGGAGCAGCCCAAGAGGCUCUGUCCUCUCUGUGGUGCUGUGGACGGAGCUGCGGCUCUCUCCCGGCUCUCUCCAAUGCUGGGUUCCAUUCCAGCUGCACUCCCAGAGCUGGGUCCUGGUGGGCAGCAGAAUUCUUCGGGCUCCUUAGGCAGCUUCCUCAUGGCCGGAUGGUCCAGUACUGCUUCCCAGCUGGCUCUCCUGGGAAGUUCCUGGACCCAGGCUGGAAUCUUUGCAGUGGCCUCAAAAGUCCCAUGAGUCCAGCCACCUUAGUCCUGCCAUUGGACUUUGGGGGUCCUGGGCCAGGGGACCAACCAUCCCAUAAGCCAGAGGGUGG
rnacentral:lncRNA from 1 species